GCUACUUUUUAUAAACCAUCGGGAAAAACUUGAAAUUUUGUCAUUAUUUAUUUUGUUUAUUUUUAGUGAUUUUAUCUUUAUCCCUUCAAUAACUAUAAAAAUAAGGUCACAAACGUUUAAAAGCUCAUGUAGAUAGUGCUAAGUGCUAACCUUGUCUUAGCACUUAGCCGUAUAAAACUUCAGGUUUCCCCAAAUUCUCUUCUUUUGACUCGUCACCAGACUCUUCUCGGAGUUAAUGAUUUGAUCUUCUCUUACCACAAAAUGGCCGAAACUCCGUCAUCGUUCCAGACGCCGCCGCCGCCGCCACCACCACCACCACCGACGCCUCCGUCAGCGCCUAUUAAUCCUGAUCCUACACAAUACUGGUGCUACCAGUGCAACAAACGGGUUCCGGUCGAAACCCUACCCGAUCAGCCCGAUGUUAUAUGUUUCGAAUGCAAGAAUGGAUUUGUUGAGUUAAUCUCCGUCCAUCAUCCUCAAGCGCUUGAAGUAAACGAUGAGGACCAACCUGCUUUCGGCAACGAGUUUCUUCAGGUCCUUAGGUUAAUCGCUCAGGCUGCGCGUGAUGGUGACGCGCCUCCUCUGCCUCCUUCUGACCGCGCGGAUGACGACAGCGAUCAUCUCCAAAUUGAACUCGACGGAUGGGAUGAAAACGAUGAUGACGACGACGACGAUGAUGACGAAGACGAAGGUGAUGAAAACCAUAACGAAGGAGCUCGAGAUCGUGAUGGAUCUGAUGACAACGAAGCGGAACAAGAGAUCGUCGAAGGGGAAAAUGAAGAUUCCCGUAGAAGACAAAGGCGCGAUGUCAUCCGUCUUCGUCUCCGUGACUUUGCUACCCGAGCUUUAAGUCGUCGCAACCGGAUUCUCGAUUGGGCUGAGAUCCUAACGGGGCUCGAAGAUCACUCGAUCGAGUUUAGGUUUCAACUUCCGGGAGGUGGUGAUGGUUACGUAGGCAAUCCAGGCGAUUACGUUGAUGCUGCCGGAUACGAAGCAUUGUUGCAAAACCUAGCUGAAAGUGAUAGCGGCGGGAAGAGAGGAGCUCCACCGGCGGCGAAAUCUGCAGUGGAAGCGUUGCCAACCGUUGAAGUGAAGUCAACUUAUAUGGAAGUCUGUGCUAUAUGUAAAGAUAAAGUGUUUAACAACGAAAAGGAGAUUGUGAAGCAAUUGCCUUGUGGACACAUGUAUCAUGAAGACUGUAUAGUGCCUUGGUUGGGUUCAAGGAACACUUGUCCUGUUUGUAGGUACGAGUUGCCUACAGAUGAUCCUGAGUAUGAAGAAGAUAGGAAGAAGAAAUCAACCUCCAUGGCUACAACAACAUCAGCAACAUCCGGUGAUGGGGUUUAAGAAAUGGUAUGUAUGCAUUUCUCGCUUAUCUUGAACACAGAGUUUGUAUCCCUGUUUUCGCUGUUCCUUAUAUGAAUUCAUGGUAAUGAUUUUAUUGCUGUAAAUACCAAACUUCCUUGAUUUGAAGAACUCAGAGUAGCUUUUCUGUUGUAUGCUUGCUUCGUGCUAUCUCAUGUGAAAUGCAUACAUAAUAAACAAGUAACCAUGGACAAAAUUAAGGAAAAAAUCUGAAACAAAACUUAGGGGAGAAAGAUUAAGGAGGAAACCCUUAAUGUCACAUUAUGAUAUAAAUGUUAUCUGUUUGUCUUCAGUUGAUCUAUCAGUUUAGGGUUUUGAUAUUUUGGAGUAUGUUUUAUUGUUUUAUAAAGAAGUUGUCUGGUUUAGGCUAUGAGUCUGUUCUUGAUGAAUUUUUCCAUGGCAUCAUCCAUUUCAUCAUGUUCUUGAUCUUGAUCUUUAGUUUCUUCACCUAAUGACAUAGAAAUCACAAUUUCUUUUUAGUUUUGUUCUGAUGCUCUUUUUCCUCUUCAACACUCUAUUUCAUGUUUAUUGCUUGAUUAGCAUUAAGAGCUUAUCAAACAACCCCUAAGUGGGACUGAUAUCACAAUUUUUUGAUUUAUCUCAUAAUUUUUUUAGUAACUUUAUUAAGCAAAAACCUACAUUAAAUUGAUCAUUAUUUUUUUUAAUAUGAACUAAUUUACAUUUAUUUUUGUGAAAUGUUUAAUAAAAUUUUCUUAUCUAAUUUAGUAUUAUUUAAUCGGUUAAUGAGGUUUUGUUAUCGGUUAUGGUAAAAUUUGACAGAAAAAUAGAGAAUAUAUUACUAUGAAAAGUUAAAAACAGAAAGUACAUUACUAUUAAAUUAAAACGGAAAAAUUAGAAACUACAUUAUUAAAAAAACAAGUUUUAAUAAUCAUGUUUAAAAAUUCGCAUACUUUUUUUUAAAUAUAUUGAAUUUUAUAUUUUUUAAAAUUCACAAACAGAUUUUAUUUAACCAUAAAAAUAAAUAAAUGUUGAAUAUUUAAUAAAUGAUUUUGUUAUUAAUAUGAACAUUUAAUUUACCAUUUAACAUUAAAGUAUAGUUAAAUGUUGGGUAUGUUGAUAUCACUUCAAAAGUAAGCUUUGUAUUAAUAUGAGCAUUUUAUUUACCGUUUUAACAUUUAAAGUAAAGCUAAGUGUUUUGUAGACAAUGUUAGGUUUUUACAAAAUGUUUCGAGUAAAAUUAUUUCAAAAGUGAUAUGGGCCAAAAUACAUAGAUUGUUAGUAGCUCUAAAAAUAAAGUAUAUAAUUAAUUUUCUGUUUUUUUGGUUCUCAUUUAAGCGUAAGACCUGCGAACCAAAAAUAUCUCAAUUUGGUUAACCAAACUGAAUUUUAAAAAAUCAAAUCAGUUGUGCAAGAAAUUACAGGCAACUAUUUAUUCAUUUAUCGUUCUUAAUUUACAAACUAAAUUAUUGAUGAUGUAGAACAAUUUUAUUGUAUUAAAUUUAUUUCAAUCUCUUUUGGGACCAACAACGUAUAAUCAAACAUCUCUAUAACAACGUCGACCAGUUUUCUCUUUCUUCUUCUCCAGUCUUAGAUGGCAAGUUAAAAAAAAUUCCAAGUCAAACAAGAGUAAAUGAACGAUUUUUCUAGCCUAUUAAUAAUUACAUAAUACAAUAUCUAUUGAUUUAUAUCUUUUAUUAUAGCAAUCAAAUCAAAUCAAAUCAAAUCAAAUCAUAUAUAUGUGUCCAGUAUAGCACACUGCUUAUCAGCGAUUCGAUGCAAUUUAUGAAAUUUAAAGCCUAAAACAAUUGGAUAAACGUGGACAUUUUCUUGUGUAGUGUUCAUCGAUUUAAAGAAGGCCUUAGCUUAUGUUUGGCUCGGGGUUGGCCCAACCCUAAAGGGUUGUGGGGUGUUCAAUCGCAUAUGACCCCAAAAAAAUAGGGUCUGGGUUCUUACGAAUUUAUAUAGUUAAUAUAAUAUGUAUAACUGUUUAUGUAAAAAUUUAUCCAAUCUUCCUAUAGUUCAACCGAUUGAAGAGAGGUGCUUAUUGCUCUCUCGUUUUAUGUAAAAAUUUAACAAAAUGUGUCGUAUACGAUGUGCCUUAUAUUUUCUCCUUAUAAAUAACCAAGGUUCGAGUCAUAGCAAACCUGCUUUGUCUGUAAGAUAGGUAUUUUACGAAUAACCUAGAUGGUCUAGUUUGUUUUUACAGAAUGUGUAAGUAUGCUAAAGUUGCUAGUGCAUUCAAUUGACUUUGAAAACAGCCAUAAACGAAAGUACGAUGAAGUAUGGAAAUUUUAGAAGUACGUAAAUAAUAAAUAAUAAGGUUCGAGCUUUGCAAGAUAGGGAAAGAAACAAUAUCAUUUCUUUUAGAAGUUAUACUUCUUUAGGUUUUUUAUGUUCCAUGUGCAUGGAAUCCAGAUACCUCGGAGUGUCUCGAGCACGUGAGACCCGUUGAGAUAGGUCUGAUUACUUUGUAAGGACCAUUAAAUAUUUGACUUAACUUGCCUUGAAUCUUGAUCUUCACCUCUACUAGCUUCAUUUUUUUUUAAAGUACUAGGCCUUCUACCUUGUAGGCUCACUUUUUAACAUAACUGUUGUAGUACUUCUCGGUUUAGUACUUAUAAGUUGCUUUGUUUAAGGCUGGUAUUUCCUGCCUUUCUUGAAGGAGGUCGAAACUGGAUUGUAGGUCUAUUUUUGUUUCUCAUGUAUUGAAGUUGGUCUUGGUCACUUGAUUUGUUUGAACUAGUUUCUCUUUUAAGGGAGAGAGAGAGAGAGAGAGAGAGAGAGAGAGAGAGAGAGAGAGAGAUUGCUUCGAUCUGUAAACGAGGUUAAAUGGUGUUUAGUUUGUGGUGGUCCUAGUUAUGGUUCAAUAUAACCAUAAAAUACUUGGGAGCUUGUCUACCGACCUACCUUUGGCCCUUGUUAGCCUUAUCUUUGGUCCUUUCCAAAUUGUUCUAUUAGUAAUUUUUGUUUGGCUAUUUUACCGUGGAUGUAUUAUUGAGGUGAAUGUUUGUUAAAUUUUCAUGAUGAUGCCUUUCUUUGAAGAGGUUUCCUCUAAAUUGUUUUCCAUUGUCGCUAAUAUGGUGUUUGUAACGUCUUUGAAUUCGGACUAGACGUUUUAAGAAUUUUAAAUUAUAAAUAUUUGUUUUAUCGAACAACUAAAUCAUCGAAUGGGAUAAUCGUAAAUAAUUACGAGUCCUUUGUACGCGAUACAAGUUAUAUAGAAGAUAUCUACAUUUUGCGUACAUGUUUUAUGGACAAAUAUUAUGGACUUAUAUUAUUUGUAAAAAACAUAUUAUAAAAUUUAACGAAUUACGUUAAAUAAAUGUCUAAAAAUAAAAGAUUACUUAGGAUAAAUAAUCUUAAUGAAAGUUGUAGUUGCCGUGAUCACAAUUAUGUGGGUAUAAAGAACACCCAAAUCUGGUUUCUAUGAAUAAGUUAUGAUUCUUCGAAGUUUCGCAUUCAACCCUAUACGACAAAAUGUGUCAUAAAAGAUGAAUCGAAGAUAGAUUUCUCAUUAACCUAAGUAAUCUACAUGAAAGUCGUAUUAAUUGAAAUUACGAAAGUGUGCAUAUAAAGAACGUUAAAAUCUGACUUCAUAUGAUGAAGUUAUGAUUUUUUAAAACUUCGGUGCGACACAAUACAAAGUGUGCGACACAGAAAUCGAAAUUAAAAUCGGUUGAUUGUUAGUCAAAACAAUAUAGGAAAACUGCAAAAAAAUCCUUACAUAUUGGCCUUAUAAUCAAUUUAGUUCUUAUAUAUAGUUUUUUAUUCAAUUAAGUCUCAAAACCCGGUAAUUAUAUUCAAUUUGACACUUUUAUCAGGUCAAUAGGUCAUAUAACUUUUAAAAAUUAUACUUUUGGCCCAGAUUUUAAUUUUUUUUUACAAAUUUGGUCCAAAAAUUACAUUUUAACCCUAAGUUUAAAUUUUAUUACAAAUUUGUUCUAAAAUUUACCCUUUUGGCCCAAAUUUCAGAAUUUUGUUAUGACAACAUCCUAAAAUUUAGUUUCUUUUACAACAAUUUUUCUCAAAAGGGUAAAUUUUUGACCAAAUUCUGAAAUCUAGCCAAAAGGGUAAAUUUUUGACCAAAUUUGUAAAUUUUAGAGAAACAAAAGUUGUAAAAAAACUAAAAUUAUGAUGAAUUCAUAACAAAAUUAUGAAAUCUUGGCCAAAAGGGUAAAUUUUUUUUACCAAAUUUGUAAUAAAAUUUGAAAUCUGGACCCAAAGUGUAAUUUUUGAAAAUUAGAUGACAUGUUGACCAGUAAAAGGGUUACAUUGAAUACAAUUACCGGUUUUUAGGACUUAAUUGAAUAAUAUAUAUAUAUAUAUAUAUAUAUAUACAUUUUNNUAUAUAUAUAUAUAUAUAAUGACUAAAUCGAUUAUGAGACCAAUAUAUAAAGACUUUUUUAGAGUUUCCCAAACAAUAUAAAUGAGAGUUGAAGAUCUCGUAAAUAUGAAUCCGUUGAUUUAGAGAUAGUCGAGAACAAAGUUUGUAUGAAGAAAUUAUGAAUUUUGCAUGAUCUUUUGCUGUGUAAUCUUUAUAAAUUGUAAAAUUUAAAAUAGAAUCAGAAUUAGUCGAGGGAGUUUAAAGGAAAGUUGUAGUAUUCGGAAAUACCUACGCGUGGAUAUAAAGAAUGUCGAAAAUGAAGUUCGUAUGCGAGAGAUGAAUUUUUGAAGAUCUGUAGUUUUACGCGCAUUCGAUGCCACAUGUCAGCAAGUUCAAUGUUUGCCGCCUACGCCACUCCACUAAGCGUACCUCUAUCCUUAAUCUUAGGGGUGUCGAACGGGUAAAAUUUUCGGGUUUCGGGUAGAACGGGUCGGGUAGAACGAGUAUUUCCUUAAAAAAAUAAUACACGAUACCCGACCUAUAUUGUAAAUCAGGUUUUUGGGUUUCGGGUAUUCAGGUUUGAGGUCGGGUCGGGUAAUUAUCGGGUAUACCCGAAAAUUUCUUAAAUGACACUUAUUGAUAUUUUUAAUUUUUUAAUUUUUUAAUUUUUACAUGUUGGUUGGUUUAAAAAAGAAUCGGGUAAGAAAAUACUCCAUACAAUUAACAAGUACAUAUAUAAUAACAAUACAAAUCAUUAUAAUAUGUUAUGUACUUUUUUAAUUCCAUUCUGUACGAUAGUGAGAAACUGAGAAUUGUGAUGACGGUUCAGGAUUUCAGUUUCAACGUCGUAUUCCCUUUGCAAGUUUGCGUCGAUUGUCGAGUCGUCGUUCAUAAGAAGAAAACGAAGAGUUUUGUUUUAUUUGAAGUGUGCGUACGUGACUGAAUUGUAUAUUUGGUAUUAUUUAAAAAAUGAAUUCGGAUAUACCCGAAAAUAAAUAUUCAUACCUAAAACCCGACCUAUAUUAUUAUCGAGUUAACCUAUUACCCGAAUGUACAUACUCGUUACCCAUUCUACCCGAAUUCGGAACGGGUCGGGUGGGUAGAACGAGUUUCGGAUUUUUUCGACAGUGCUACUUACACUUAACAUAGCCUCCCAUAGCAACCUAUAAAUAAGUUGUGAGAUUUGCUCAUUUCCCACAACCUUUUCACGUUAAAUCCUCUAGAAACUCUCCUACAUUUCGAGCCCGAUUCUCCUAAGUUUCCGACUACUUUAGUGAGGCUUUGAGGCGUCAAAGAGCCCAACGAAAAAAGAGUUUUGGUUUCGAAGGUCUCCCCACGCCGUUUCUUGUUUUUCGUUAAACAACUUGUAAGUUGAGUUAUCCUUACCGUAUUUUAAGUAUAACUUACAUUUAUGUUCGUAAACAUUAUUAUGAACUUAUAAAUAAGAUUUAUCAAUAAUAACAGUCAUUAUGUUGAUCGAUCUACUUACGGAAGUGAUGUCUAGGCUAGAUCUGUGAGUUGUUUAAAGUGCAUUUUCCAAACAGUGUAUAUCUAUAUACCAAACGGAUCGUACCUUUAAUAAGAAUUUAUCUGGUUAUUCCUUAUCAGUUAUAUGUUGGUAUUCUGUUGGGAUUAUUGAUAAAUAUGAUAAAAAAUAUUAUAACAACUAAACUUUAUAAAUACGAACGAAUAUUAAAGCUUAGUAAUAUUCAUAUUUAGGUCAUUUUAAUGGGAAAUAUGAAGUGACAGUCAAAGAGAUGACUUUUCCGCGAGUCUUUCACCUAUAUCAGGUGAGUGCAUAGUCAUUUUAAUGAACAUUAUUUUAACACAAGUAUUUAUUACAACUAUUAAAUAUCUGUUGAAAGUUUAUACGUGAAAUAAUUGUUUAUUAUCUGGAAUAUGCGUUAAACGAAUAUUUGAUAAAAUCAUUGUUUGAACCAAAUAUGAUUAUAUAAGUGUUANCGGAGGGUAGGUCGGACACCCCAAAUAUGUCUGACAACGUGAUUAUGAUAUAUAUAUAUAUAUAUAUAUAUAUAUAUAUUAUGAUAUUAUUAUAUGAUAAUCUUAAUAAAAUUAUUGUUACUUAAAAAGAUUAAUGUGUAUUAAAUACCAGCCAUUUUGUGUUAGAUAUAUAUACCGAAUUAUGAUAAUCUUGUCUGAAUAUGGUUACUAUUGGAAAUUGAUUUCAGGGAUUAUAGUCUCAUCUAGUUUUAAAGUAAGACGUAUAAAGGAUUUUUAGAUCCUGUUAAGUUGGAUAAAAGUGUAGUCCUAUAUUGUAUUGUGAUAGUAUGGUAUAAACAAGAAAACAGUUUGAAAAGAUUAUUAUAAGCAUUAUAGUCUUUCCUAGUGAUGGAAUAAAACUUAUAAAUAGAGUUUAGUUCGAGUUAAAAGAGUAUUAGUUAUACCAUGUAGUGUAAGGAUAUCACAUAGGCAGGAAAUUUGUGUUGAUUAUGAAUAUUGUAAUCUUGUUUAGUUAUACCCAAAGACCUAAAGAGGAUGCUUAGUUCAAUUAAGUUGAGGUAUUAGGUAGCAUCAUAUUAAGGGUAUAUGUGAGAUGAGAAUGGAGAGUAGAGCUCAGUUCGAUGAUACUGGUGAUGUGGUGGGGUACGGGUGCAUACUAGAGUACUAUAUUAGUAUUCACCCUCCUAUUAGACAGCCAGAUAGGGUGCAUAUGUAUUAUACCAUUGCUAGGUAUGUUUGAGUCAUCUAAUAGAGUAUAGAUGACCACCCUUAACCAAACUCAGUCUUGUGGUGUUAAUGAAUCAUACUAAUCCAAUGAAAAAGUAUCAUAGGUUCAUUUAUGUACUCUAUCCUUCCCAUGGUUGCCUUUAUUGACUAACUCCUGCUGGCAAGGACUCCCCGGAGCAGUAUAGUCAACAUGUUGCUUACAAUGAUCCUUUAGGAUAGAUCUUAUAAGAUCACUGUUAUAGAAUUAAUAUGUGAGGAUUGACGGGAUGAGUAACUAAGGAUAAAAUGUCUUAUAGAUAUUUAUACUAUAUUGUUAGAUAACAGUUGGUUUUGUAGGUUUAAUGAUUAUAGGUUAUUAUCAUAAUAACAUUAUGGGAUUGAAAACCCUAUGCAUGUCACCAGGAUUCCCAACCUAGCCCACUCCAUUUAUAUGCAUCAUAGGUAGCAGUGUUAAGACUAUUAGAGACUUGAAUAGGAUGCUGAGUGAUUAAUGUGAAGACCUGCAAUAGUGUUCAGGACCAUAGGUCUUUAUGUUGUAACAUAUGUUGUGUAUUGAUUAUGACAUCCUUAAAGUUUUUGUAUUUUGAAACAUCUUUACUCAAGAUAUUUUAAUAAAAUGAAACAACUUCUACAAAAUGUUUUAUUAUAAUGAGAUUUUCUGCAAACAAAGAUGUUAUGGUUUUUGAAAGCGUAAAGAAAAAGUUUUUUUUUUCGGUUAUAGAAAGUAAGGGAUGUCACAAUGUUGACAUGUCAAACUUAUUGAAUAUGUUUUUCCAGUUUUUCUAUAAGAAUUUUAUAACUUUUUUUCCCUAGAUUGUUGCUAGUGGCUCUAUCUCCACCCAAUUUGUUAAAUAACCGGUUGCUACUAUCAAGAAUUUUACAUUUCCUGGUGCUUCUCGGAAAACUCUUUAUUGAUGAAAUGGACAAGGGCUGGAGAUGUUGACCAUUUUCGUUGCAAGGAGAUGGGGUAUUAGGGUAUGUUGAUAUUAUAUGAACCUUCUGGUUAGUUCCCUGACUUUGUAUAUUGUUAACUAAAAAAAACCCAAAUGGUUUAUCAUCUUAGCAAACAUUUUCUUCCUAUAGUGAGAUCCAAAAAUCCCUUCAUGAUUUUCCUUAAGGAUAUACUCGACUUCUUUAUGGCCCAUACAACACAAUCAUGACAUUAAAUGUCAUCUUAUAAAACACUCAUUGUUAGAUGUCGAAGCGUGUCGUUGAAUAUGACCUUCCUUGUUUCUGCCAUAUGUUAAGGUAAAGUGUCAUAGGCUAAGUAAUCAUGGAUAGAAGUCAUCCAUGUGUACGUCCUACUAUGGGGUAGUGUUGAUGUUAUUAAUUUUCUUUUUUACAUUGUAUUGCGUUCUUAUAAGACUUCUACCAAUAGUUAUUGCAUGAACCAAGGGUAGUACUUGUUGAACGGGUUGAUCAAUUGUACUUGAAUAGGAUGUCCUGAAAGUAACACCUGAUGCAUAUUAUUGCUCGAACAAGAGCCAAUGCAAACUACUCAGUUAGGAGAUAGUUUAUAUUUAGACCUCGUAAUGCUCGAUUGACAACAAAGUAGAUGUGAAUAUCUUUUUUGCCUUUCAGAAACCAAGACUACACUAAUAGCCUCAGAUGCAUGUGAAAGAUAAACUAGUAGUGUCUCCCCGGGCAAGCUAGAGUUGGGAGUUGCAUGAGUGUAUUGAAGGCUUCCUCGACCUCUUAUGUCAGGAAAAAUGUUUUUUUUUUUAUUUUUUUUUUCAAUACAUAUUUUGAGGAUUUUUUGAAAAGUAGUGAUUUCUCUACAGGCUUAUCAAAGAAUCUAAGGUUGUGAGAUUAUCAUUCAAACAUUGUAUCUCUUUAAAAGUUUUUCGAGACCGUAACUUUGCCAACGCUUCCACUUUGGUGAGGUUGGUCCAGAUUCCCUUGUUUGGUGACUAAUUGACUAUGUAUAAAAAUUGUCAAUUGAUGAGUUUUAGUUUCUUCUUCUUUAUUUCUUUUAGUCUGUCAAAUGUUUUUUGAUAUUGUUAGUAAAAUAUGACAUUGAUUUUUAAUUAUAGAGAAUAAGUUAUUAACUUUGUUUCUAAAUAAUAAAUAAAGUUUAAAAAUAAAAAGUAAAAUUAAAAAAUAUAAUGAUUAUUUAAUUAUAUAUGAUCGAUUUUGUGGUUUUUUCUAUAGUUUUUAAUUGAUCUUUUACAUGAUAAUUAUAUAACGCUUGUUGAAUAUUAUCUUUCAUUCUAAAUUAAAAUUUAUUUACACCUUAUUAUACUGUUAAUCUGAGUAAACUAAUGUGUAUAUUCAUGAAUGUGGAACACCAAUUAUUUAUUUAUUUAUUUAUUAUUAUUUUUUUGAACUCCUGCCAAACGACAUGCAUAAAAGGUAUGUUAGCAGACUAUUUUAUUUAUCAAAAGAAUUCUAACCUAACGGUAUGCAUUGUUAUUCUCUUGCUGUUAAAAAAAAAAUUAUUUUAUUUAGAAAGUAAGAUAUUAUGAUGAAUACGAAAUAUAGAAUGCUAGAAACUUCAUUCCUAAUUAGAUAUUAUUGAAUAAUAGGUUGUUUAUUAUGUUAAAGAAAUCAGAUUAUUCGAUAAUAUGUUUCUUUUUAUUAUGUUAAAAUUUGCAUAAGGAAUAUAAGAUAGUAUCUGGAAAAAUAAUUAUGUUUUCAAAAAUGACUUACCUAAAAAAACACAUUAACCAUUUGACUUUAAUAUGGUUGAAAUUUCAAACUUCAUGAAGGAAAUUAUUUUUGGUCUUAUAUAUACAUUUUACUUUUUGAAAAACAAAUUGUCUUAUAAAAUUUGUUUCGAUUUUGUUAUAAAUAAAAGUUGUAAAUAGUACAUAUGCAUUUAUCAAAUGAGGCCUUACGUUUAUAAUCUAUGAUUUUUUUAAAACUAACAAUGAUUUUCUUUAAUGGUAAACUAUCCAAAUGCCAUUUUCUAUUGGCUAUAAAGAUUAAAAAAAAAAAAAAAAAAAAAAACCUUAAUUGGAAAAAAAAAAAAAACCUUAAUUGGAAAACAUAACAAAACCGAUCAUAAGAUAUGAACAAUUAUCUCAAUGUCAUCUCCAGUGAAAUAUGGUGUCUAACAUUGUAUUCCUACUAUGGAAUAUGUAUUAUAUUCAAAAAAAAAUUAUAAAUAAAAGUUUUGAUAUUACGAUUGCUUUAGAAACUACGAAUCAAGCUAUAAAUUUGAUGAUACUAUUAUAUAAAUAUAAGUUUUCAGAAAAAAAAAUCAAAUAUUUAUUUAUUUGAAAUGGUAGAUUUGGUAUUCAAAGCUGAUAGAGUUUUAAAUAUCAAUAAAUACGAAUACGAUAAGGGAAUGGAUAGUUUUAAAAGGUCCAGGAAUGAAUGAGAGGCCUUUUUUUUUUAUUUUUUUUUUUAUUUUAAUUUUUUUUAGCGCCUUAACGAAUUUAUUUUAAUAGUUCAUUUUUCAUUACUGUUUUAACAUAAUAAUGUAAACUAGAAGUCCAAGUAUUUCGAAUGAACUUAUCUCAUGAGGAUUCAUUUUUAAGUGGCUCUGGAAUUAGGAUUUUAAGGGCUAGGGGAUUUGAAAUUUAAAAAGAACAAAUGUUUGAUAUAUAAAAUGCUAUAUUAAUUUAUUUUCGAACAUUUAAAUUCCUUAAAAUUUAAAAUAUAAAAUAUAGAGUAUUAUCACGGUAAAAAGAGAUUUAAUUAGUUAUAAGGUUUUAAUUAAUAUUUAUAUCAAGUUAAAAUAAAUUUAAAUAAAAUAAAAGGGGUUAGAUUGACAAUUAAAUUAUUAGAGGGGAUAAAUUGUCAAAAGGAAAGAGAAACAAGCCCAGGGACUAAGUUGUAAAUUACGUAAAGAUUCCAUAAAUUAAAACAAAACGGAAUUUGGGGAAGAAGUGACAAGCAUCUAAAAUUCAGAGACCAAAAGUGAAACAAUCGAAGAUUUAGGGUUCUUUAGUUAUCCAGCCGUAUACGUACGUACCUGUAUGACGUAUCCAUUAAGUUUUCACCGUAUUUCUCACGUACUUUACGUGAAGAACGAGUCCUAAACCAAAUCUAACACUAUAUAUAUACCCUUUGCGAUCGAUUGUUUGCAUAAAUACUUCAAAAAAUGAGAGAGAGAGAGAGAGAGAGAGAGAGAGAGAGAGAGAGAGAUUGCAAAUUCUUUUUAGCUUUGAAAGCCACACAAGCGUUGAAAUCAAAGUACAAAAUACAUAUGUUUGCAGAAAAAAUAUGUAAAGGAGAAGGAAGAGGAUGGGUCUUUACAAAAGUACAAAACUGUAAACUAAUGAAUCAGUAGGGUUGGUUGAUGAUUUCCUCGUGAAAUGUGAUCUUUUGCAUAAGGAAGUUAUUGUUUGUUUUACGAUUAGAAAACAUGAAAACCUUCCUAAUUCAAAACCUUUCCAUCUAGACAUUCAUACCUCCAAUUUCCAUUGCCAUGAUGUCUUUUUUUAAAGUUCAAUUUCCGCCAUAACAUAUUUGCUCCAACUUCCAUGCAUCUCGGUUUUCGCAAAGAUAACAAUUGAAUUUCAAAAAACUCGAAACGCGAACUUGUAGAUAAUUUGGCCUUCUUUCAAUAGCUUUUUGAAUCUCUUCAAUCCUAAUUUACGAGGAAUCAUAUAUGAUCCAAAAUUUGCAACAUGGUUAAGCUGUCCAACACCUUUCUUUUGCGUUUAUUCAAAGAACAUCAAAAGUAGAACCAUUCUCUAGUAAAAUCGGACGUUUUGUAAUGAAAUAAUAUCUAACUAAAGUGCUACAAAAUUGGCCGAUCAUAUCUCCUCAACUAAGGUAUAACAAGAUCAUCAAUGCCUAAAUACUCCUUAGUUCGUAUAUUGUAUCAAAGAAAAUUUAAAGAAACAUGAUACAAAUAUAUGUGUCCUAACAAUGGUGAACUCGACAACUUUUAUAAACAAUAACUGUAUGUUAUACUUACUUUACUUUGGUUUUUGAAUAACUCUAUUUUCUAAACAUUUUUCUAUAGUCCCGAAUAAGACCAUAAAAUUAUAUAUAUGACAAUAUUUUUAUAAAAAAUCCGAGUUAACCAUUCUUUACACACAAACAUAUAUGUAUCCUAUUUUUCUGCAUUGUGCUUGGUAUUUACAGUUUUCUAAGGAAAUAGGGAGUAUUUGAAUGGAACUGAUUUUGUUAGUCUUUUUUGGGAUGAGAAAAAAUAAAGUUGGGGAGGUUUGAUCGGUUCUUUUGUACAUAUUAAAUAACCUUUUGUGCAUAUUAAAUAACAUUAAAAAAAUUUCUAUUUCACUAGAGAACGGUUUUCCCUUUAAUGCUUCUUGAAUAACUAAGUAGGCACAAACGAAAGUGACAAAACGAACAUAUAAAUGCAAAAGAAGGUGUUACACAUGUUUUGAUCAUAUCUGACUCCUGGUCACUCUGAUUUAGCCAUUUAGGCGAUUCAAAUUGAUCCAAAAUAAAACAUAAAAUUAGCUACAAAUAUUGUGUUCUGAGUUUGUUUGUAAAUUCAGUAGUUAUCUUGUUUAUAAUCAGCAUGGAAUUAGCUGUGAUCACUUUGGCCAUAUUUUUUACUUAAAAGGGAUCAGAGGUCAUUGCAAAUUGAAGGCUUAGAUUCCUAUAUAGAUAGAAAGGUUUUGAAUUGGGAAAUGUUUCAUAUCUUCUAUACGGGGAAGUAUUCCAGCCCUUUAUAUUUAGCCCUUGCUUAAUUACAAAAGAGAUCACAUCUUGAGGGUGAAAACCACCCUAAAUAUUCCACCUCAUGACAGUUGAAAACUUUUCUAAAACAUAUCCAACAUUAAACAAGGAUUCAAAAUUAUGUUCCUCAUGUUCUUCGUGUUCACUACCAUCAUGUUUGUCUAACAUCAUUUAAUCGCUUUUAGGGAUAUCAUCAAAGGCUAAGGUUGCGUUUAGUUGCAGAAAAAUUAGUCGUUUUCCGAAAAAAAAAUUUCAAGAAAAUUGAGAAUUUUGAAAACAUGUUUAGUUCGUCUAAUUUUCUAAAUUUUUCAUGGAAAAUGAAAAUUUUUUGUUUUCCAAAAUUACAAAGAAGUUGGAAAUUUUUGGAAAACCAAUAAUCAUUGUCUUUUAUAUUUUUCUAAUUCCAAAAUUUUUGUAAAAUAUAACACACACCCACUCCUACCGCCACCACUACCACUACCACCACCACAGCCAUCGUUAUCGCCACCACCACCACUAUCGUCACCGGCCACUAGCCGUCAUCGCCACCACCACCACCACCG
rnacentral:lncRNA from 1 species